rnacentral:rRNA from 1 species
UACGUAGGGUGCGAGCGUUAAUCGGAAUUACUGGGCGUAAAGCGUGCGCAGGCGGUUGUGCAAGACAGAUGUGAAAUCCCCGGGCUUAACCUGGGAAUUGCAUUUGUGACUGCACGGCUAGGGUGUGUCAGAGGGGGGUAGAAUUCCACGUGUAGCAGUGAAAUGCGUAGAUAUGUGGAGGAAUACCGAUGGCGAAGGCAGCCCCCUGGGAUAACACUGACGCUCAUGCACGAAAGCGUGGGGAGCAAACAGG